UACAGAGACUGCAAGCGUUGUUCGGAUUGACUGGGCGUAAAGGGCGUGUAGGCGGUCGGCCAAGUCUGAUGUGAAAGCCCGAGGCUCAGCCUCGGAAGUGCGUCGGAAACUAGUCGGCUGGAGCGCGAUAGAGGAGGGUGGAAUUCCUGGUGUAGCGGUGAAAUGCGUAGAUAUCAGGAGGAACACCGGCGGCGAAGGCGGCCCUCUGGAUCGUUGCUGACGCUGAUACGCGAAAGCGUGGGGAGCAAACAGG
rnacentral:rRNA from 1 species